GACGAACGCUGGCGGCGUGCUUAACACAUGCAAGUCGAACGGUAAGGCCCUUCGGGGUACACGAGUGGCGAACGGGUGAGUAACACGUGGGUGAUCUGCCCUGCACUUCGGGAUAAGCCUGGGAAACUGGGUCUAAUCCCGGUUAGGACUCCUGGCUUCAUGGUUGGGGGUGGCAAGCUUUUGCGGUGUGGGGAUGGGAUCGCGGCCUAUCAGCGUGUUGGGGGGGUAAUGGCCUACCCAGGCGACGACGGGUAGCCGGCCUGAGACGGUGACCGGACACACUGGGACUGGGAUACGGCGCAGAUUCCUACGGGACGCAGCAGUGGGGAAUAGUGCACAAUGGGCGCAAGCCUGAUGCAGCGACGCCGCGUGAGGGAUGACGGCCUUCGGGUUGUACACCUCUUUCAGCUAUGACGAAGCGCAAGUGACAGUAGUAGCAGAAGAAGGACCGGCCAACUACGUGCCAGCAGCCGCAGUAA
rnacentral:rRNA from 1 species